UACGUAGGGGGCAAGCGUUAUCCGGGUUUACUGGGUGUAAAGGGAGCGUAGACGGCCAGACAAGUCUGAAGUGAAAAUCCAGCGCUUAACGUUGGAAGUGCUUUGGAAACUGCCGGGCUAGAGUGCAGGAGGGGCAGGCGGAAUUCCUAGUGUAGCGGUGAAAUGCGUAGAUAUUAGGAGGAACACCAGUGGCGAAGGCGGCCUGCUGGACUGCAACUGACGUUGAGGCUCGAAGGCGUGGGGAGCAAACAGG
rnacentral:rRNA from 1 species